AACGCACGAGACCUGCGGACCUGCGGAAGGAUCAUUAGCACUUCUAUAUGGUAAACUCUGCCGCAUCCAGGACUCUCGCUUGCGUAGCGGGAUGUUCCGGGGUGCGGUAGUCUGCUCAAUGUGAAACGUUAAAGUCUGGUGGUAACAGUAUUGUUCCCUUUACCUUUGCGGGGAUCCUGGUCUGUGUGGCAACGUUACCGACUGUACAGUUGGAUGUUGCUCCUUCGGGAGCUGUCGAAU
rnacentral:misc_RNA from 1 species